UUUCCUUUAUUAAAAUUUUUGGACAAGUCAACAGAAGCUGAUACAUCAGAAUCCAAUUUAGAAAUCCAGUCUGAACAAUCCCAAGCGGGAAGUGACAUUUAUAAUGCCAUAAAUCAAAAUAAUGAUGACACCAGUGAAAAGGCAGAAACUACAACUUUAGCUUCCAAAUCUGCUACAGAUGGCAUAAAACCAGCGGUUUCCAUAAAUAAAAAAAGAAAAUCUAUUCCUUACGAUGACCUACUAGUUAAAGCUUCUGCAACCAUGUCAGAAAUGGGUAAAAUUGUGAAACAAACUUCAGUGCAUAAUCAAACACAGGAUGAUGCCCUAGAUACUUUCGGGAAAUUUGUAGUAUCUGAAUUACGUGGGAUACAGGGAGCCAGCAAUGAGUUUGUACUAAGGCAAACAAAACGCAAAAUUCAACAAAUAUUAAUGGAUACUUGGGAUACUCUUGAUCAACCGACCAGGCUAUUAAGUCCAGCCUCAUCCCAAGAAUCAUGGAGGUCAUUACCACAGCCACCCCAUCAUAGUUAUACUCCGUUGGAGUAUAAUUUUAAUAAUAAUUUCAAUGAAGAGAAUGGGCUAACCAAUUCCGAUAAUUUGAUUAGCGAUGCACUUAGAAUGGCUAACGUGACAAGCACAGAUUUUCAGCAAGAAAAUAUUUGAAUAAAUAUUGAUUUGUAUUAUUUCAUUUUUUUUGUUCCUAUUUAAGUUCUAGUUUUGUUAUAAAUAGAAAUAAAGAAUCAUUUUUAUUAUUUUUUACAAA